rnacentral:piRNA from 1 species
GAGCCUAGCUUCUGAAACUCGUCUGU